CGGUGCACGUGCAGCCACGAGGGGCCCUGAAUCACCUUGGCCAACGGAUGCAGCUCAGAGGGCACUGUCCAGGGAGACCUCCGCUGGCCUUCGGUAUCAUGGGACACGGGCCCUGCCUGUCCCGGACAGAGCCAGGGCAUGCUAUGCUAGUGAGAGCUUUGAACCAGGCUGGACACCAGGCAUUCUUGUUUCCACAGGCCGCAUACUUCCUAAUGUUUGCUUUAAUCCAAGACCCGCUACUCCCAAACACAUUUUUUCAGAAUCUCAUUAAUAUCAUUGCCUUACAUGGGAAGCCCGUGUCCCAGGCCAUAAAUAGAAGGUUCAUAUAAAACAAGCCGAAAACAAAGCAAGGGUUCUGAACUCCAGCUGGAGCCUGCCUCGGUGCAGGGAGGUGCCGGUUGCAGAGUGGGGAUCGAGGCCAGCGACCUCAUAACCACCAAAAAUAGAACCCAAUGUUCCGGGGAGCUAAUGGCUGCAGCCUUGCUGUGAUUUCUUCCCUUUUAGUGGUCCCCUGCUGUGGGGCUGCAUGGAGAACUGGAAAGCUGUGCUCGAGAGGCCGGGUGGAGGCAGUGGGGUCCUGCAGAGCCCCCCAUGGAGGAGCAGAGCCGGCCACACUGACUAAGCAUGCUGCUCUGGGGCUGAGCCCACCUGGCCGUAGGGCAAUUCACAUCUCAGUCCCUGAAUCCCAUCCCUCCACCCGUGGCUCCUCUGCCUGGAGCCCUGGAGGCCGCUGGACUUACGCUGACCAGUAGACACAGGAGAAACAAAGCCAAGACUGAGAGAACCAGGGACCCUGGAAUACAGUCACCACGGCGAAGGCAAGCAGAGCCUGUCCUGCUGGAAGGAAAGACCACGUCGAGAGAAACGACUCAGGGAGAAGACCUUCUGGAAUGUUCCAGAACCUUCCCACCAGCAGCAUGCUGAGCCAUGACCGCGUGGAGCAGUAGCUCACUUUGUCCAUCACGAAAUGGAGGAAACCCAGAAAACGUUGAUGUUUGAAGCUACCAACUCAAGAGGGGAUGGCUUGUGCUAUGGGUUGGACGUUGAAAUCCCCAAGAGGUCUGUGUGUUGGCAGCUUGGCUCCUAGGGAAGCGCUACCAGGGCGUGGCACUGCUUCGAGAGGAGUGGCAUUGCCGGUACCCUUAGAUUACUGCCAGUGCGGCCCCGAGGGGACGGUAUUCAUGGCUGGAACUGGUUCUGUGUUUCAUGGCUGGCAUUGCAGGUGCCAUGCUCUCACGGGCAUCCUUGUCACCGUACCCUGCCUGUGCUGGAGAAUCCAAGCCGCAAAGCCACCAGUCUCAGACUAUACUCUCCGAAACUCUGACCUAUAUAAACCUUCCCCUUUCAUAAGUUCGCGGCCUCGGGUAUUUCAUUAAAGUAAGGCUGACCAAUA